UACGUAGGGGGCUAGCGUUAUCAGGAAUUACUGGGCGUAAAGGGAGCGCAGGCGGACAAGUCAGUCUAAAGUGAAAUUCCGGGGCUCAACCUCGGACUUGCUUCGGAUACUACUUGUCUUGAGUUCGUGAUAGGAAGACGGAAUUCAGGGUGUAGCGGUGAAAUGCACAGAUAUCCUGAGGAACACCGGUGGCGAAAGCGGUCUUCUGGCGCGAAACUGACGCUGAGGCUCGAAAGCGUGGGUAGCAAACGGGAUUAGAUACCCGUGUAGUCCCUGA
rnacentral:rRNA from 1 species